UAGAAACCUAAAAUGUAAAAUAAACAUCCUACGUGCACUGUACGUACAUAAUGCUUCUGUGUAAUUCAUUCUCUACUUGCAGACAAGUGGGAUACUGUGUUUAUGAUUCCAAACUGUGUGCAUUGACAUAGUAAUAUGACAAUUAAAUUCUAUCUAAUCAUAAUGCCAGUUCAAAUAUUCAACAAACGCUUUUCUGGAUUUUUUAUUUUUUUUACAAUGCAUAUUCAUACUUUAUCCUACAACGUGCCAGGAAAGUACAAUUCAGAAAAG